rnacentral:lncRNA from 1 species
AUCGAUAUCUCAAUACUUCCGAAAAGAUUGCUAAUAUCGUCUAAUGGAAAUGUAUGAAAUAAUUAGCCUCCUUUAUUGAUACAUCAAGCCAAAGCUAAUUUAUGUAGAUUGUACGCUCCCUAAUCAACCUUAUGAUCGUCUUGUUCUUCUUGAAUUGACAACUGCUUGUAAAGGCCAUGCAUGAAAAAAAACAAGAAAAACUUGGUGGAAUAUUAUUGUGUCAAUGAAAACAGACAGAUUAAUGUACAAAUAGAAAAUCAAGGGUCCAGACUCGAGAAAAUGUGAAUCUGAAUAGAGACAGUGACAUUUUUUUAAUCUAGAUUAUGAAAAAAUCAAAUAAAAACAAAAAAUUAUCCAAGAUAAAAUAGAUAAGUGAGUUGUAAACAUUGUCAUUACAGGAAAGAAAGAAAACAAAAACCUAAGAGAUUGGAAAGAGAAAGAGUCAACGAGAGGUCGUGGUGGGAUUAGGUUGAAGCAUGGAAGGAAGAACAAGUGGGGACAAUAGAGGGAUUGGAUCUGUGCCGUUUUGACAGAGCUCAGACGCAGACGCCGAAGGAGCUACGGCGGAAGGAGGAGG